rnacentral:rRNA from 1 species
GGGGAAUAUUGCACAAUGGGGGAAACCCUGAUGCAGCAACGCCGCGUGAAUGAUGAAGGCCUUCGGGUCGUAAAGUUCUUUGAUUGGGGACGAUAAUGACGGUACCCAAAAAACAAGCCGCGGCUAACUACGUGCCAGCAGCCGCGGUAAUACGUAGGUGGCGAGCGUUGUCCGGAUUUACUGGGCGUAAAGGAUGCGUAGGUGGAAAUUUAAGUGGGAUGUGAAAUCCCCGGGCUCAACCCGGGAACUGCAUUCCAAACUGGAUUUCUAGAGUGCAGGAGAGGAAAGCGGAAUUCCUAGUGUAGCGGUGAAAUGCGUAGAUAUUAGGAAGAACACCAGUGGCGAAGGCGGCUUUCUGGACUGUAACUGACACUGAGGCAUGAAAGCGUGGGGAGCAAAC